UACGUAGGGGCAGAGCGUUGUCCGGAAUUACUGGGCGUAAAGGGCUCGUAGGCGGCCAACUAAGUCAGACGUGAAAUCCCUCGGCUUAACCGGGGAACUGCGUCUGAUACUGGAUGGCUUGAGAUUGGGAGAGGGAUGCGGAAUUCCAGGUGUAGCGGUGAAAUGCGUAGAUAUCUGGAGGAACACCGGUGGCGAAGGCGGCGUUCUGGACUGCAACUGACACUGAGGAACGAAAGCCAGGGGAGCAAACGGG
rnacentral:rRNA from 1 species